rnacentral:rRNA from 1 species
GGAAGGGCUUGAGAUCAGACUUGGUAUUUUGCAUUCUGCUCUCUCGGGGCGGCCGCUGCGGUUUACCGGGCCAGCAUCGGUUUGGAGCGGCAGGAUAAUGGCGGAGGAAUGUGGCACGGCUUCUGCUGUGUGUUAUAGCCUCUGACGAUGCUGCCAGCCUAGACCGAGGACUGCGGUUUUUACCUAGGAUGUUGGCAUAAUGAUCUUAAGUCGCCCGUCUUGAAACACGGACCAAGGAGUCUAACGUCUAUGCGAGUGUUUGGGUGUAAAACCCGUACGCGUAAUGAAAGUGAACGAAGGUGGGGGCCCAUUAGGGUGCACCAUCGACCGAUCCUGAUGUGUUC